CCCCACACCAGCUGAAUAGGCUGCGUGCACACACACCUCCACACGCGCACAUACACACACAUGCUGACAGGUGUGCACAUAUGCGCACGUGCACACACAAAUACGCACGCACAGCACACACAGACACAUAAGUGUCCAUAAACAACACAGAUCUGGCCUCAGAGCCACCCUCCAGGUGCGGCUGCCCCGGGCCCCAGGUGCGGCUGCACCGUGCUGUGGUGACAGCCACAGCAGGAUCAGAGCAGCCUCAAGGCCCUUCAGGAGCCGGCAGAGCUGGCCCCAGGCUGAGCUUGGGGAGGUGAGCCCAGGCCUGGGACCGACGCUUCCUAAUUGGCGGGCAGAGUCCAUGCAGCCCCUCCCAGUCUACACGGAAGCCCACGUGUCCACCUCCUGCUUCUGCUGUCCCCAGGACAGUGAAAUUUACUAAUGUGGAUUAAGAACAUUUUUUAAAUAAAAAAACAUUUUACACAUUGAGGACGGAAGAGAGAAGAUUACGGCCAACCAACCCCGUGCACUUCCCCGCCCAGGUUCAUGGAGUCUGAGCCCUCUGGCCUCCUGAGCCUCUGGGCUCUGUCACCAGGUGGGCGCCUUCCCCAGCCCGUGAGGCUCGCUGCUCACGGGGGCCCCGAUGCCUGAGUGAUGUCAUGGAUUUAGGUUUCAGUGCUGGCACAUGUGGCCCGCAGAGCUCAGCUCCUCUGUGAGGGACGUUUCGGCUCCUGUGGGCUUUGCUGUCCCCCAUGCUGACUCUGCCUCACUUGGUUGUCCUCAGGUCACUCUGUGCGGUGUGCACUGACCCCAGCCAGUGGAUGUUCCCCGUCCAAGAGCAAAGCUACAGUCGGCUGCAGGUGCAGUGACUUUUGCACAGUGGAAGAAUUUCUCCAGAAGAUAUUCCUGCAGGUGGAAUCACUGGAUCGUAGGCCCAGAUGUCUUCCACUUACUUGAUUUUGCCUGAUGCCUUCCAAGGAGGCUGUGCACAGCAGGUGUGAGAUGCCCCAUCUCACCAACCGGCCAACAUCCCGAUGGGAGAUGUUGAGUUUUCACCACGCUGCUGAGUGUGACGUGGAAUCUUCUUAUUUUAGCUUGCAUUUCCCUGAUUACAAGUCAGGUGGAACAUCUCGAAUAUGUUUCUGGGCCAUUUGAUUUUCCUGCAAGUCACCUGUUCCAGUUCUUUGCCCAUUUCCUGUUGGGUUGGUCAAUAUUUUUUGUGAUUACACGUUGGAUACGUGGCUGGCCUUUGGCUUGCCUUUGACUUCGUUUGUUCUAUCGAAGCAUGUGCAGAAUUGUUAAAUUUUAAUGUAUUCAAAUGCAUUAAUCUCAUUUCUUAUUUUUGUUGUUUUAUUUUUUGUUUUUUGUUUUUUUGAGACAGAGUCUCGCUCUGUCUCCCAGGCUGGAAUACAGUGACACGAUCUUGGCUCACUGCAACCUCUGCCUCCCCACUUCAAGCAAUCCUCCUGCCUCAGCUUCCUGAGAAGCUGGGACCACAGGCAUGUGCCAUCAUGUCCGGCUAAUUUUCUUUUUAAAAUGUUGUAGCAAUGGAGCCUGGGCUCAAGCCAUCUUCCCACCUCAGCCUGCCAAGUAGCUGGGACCACAGACAUGUGCCACUGCUGCGCCCAGCUAGCCUUUAAUAUUUUUAAAUGCUGUAAGAUCUGCAGGUUUUUUUCCAACCAAGUUUAUAGCUUUUCACCCCACGGAUCCCCGAGGCCAUGACAGGCAGUGACCUCCUUGGGGCACCCGCAGAGUCCUCCCCCCCAUCUUGGGAGGGCUUGUCCAGUUUCAGUUUUGUUUGUUUACUAGGCUUUGUUUUACAGUCACUAGUUAAAUUUACUAAGAUUUUUCAACUUCUUGUCUCAAGGGACUUCAUUUUAAUAAACAAUAUCUUUUCUCUUUUCUUUC
rnacentral:lncRNA from 1 species